rnacentral:rRNA from 1 species
AGUGAACGCUGGCGGUAGGCCUAACACAUGCAAGUCGAACGGCAGCACAGUAAGAGCUUGCUCUUACGGGUGGCGAGUGGCGGACGGGUGAGGAAUACAUCGGAAUCUACUUUUUCGUGGGGGAUAACGUAGGGAAACUUACGCUAAUACCGCAUACGACCUACGGGUGAAAGCAGGGGAUCUUCGGACCUUGCGCGAUUGAAUGAGCCGAUGUCGGAUUAGCUAGUUGGCGGGGGAAAGGCCCACCAAGGCGACGAUCCGUAGCUGGUCUGAGAGGAUGAUCAGCCACACUGGAACUGAGACACGGUCCAGACUCCUACGGGAGGGAGCAGUGGGGAAUAUUGGACAAUGGGCGCAAGCCUGAUCCAGCCAUACCGCGUGAGUGAAGAAGGCCUUCGGGUUGUAAAGCCCUUUUGUUGGGAAAGAAAAGCAGCAGGUUAAUACCCCGCUGUUCUGACGGUACCCAAAGAAUAAGCACCGGCUAACUUCGUG